rnacentral:rRNA from 1 species
UACAGAGGUCUCAAGCGUUGUUCGGAUUCAUUGGGCGUAAAGGGUGCGUAGGUGGCGCGCUAAGUCAGGUGUGAAAUCUCGGGGCUUAACUCCGAAACUGCAUUUGAUACUGGCGUGCUUGAGGACUGGAGAGGAGACUGGAAUUCAUGGUGUAGCAGUGAAAUGCGUAGAGAUCAUGAGGAAGACCAGUGGCGAAGGCGGGUCUCUGGACAGUUCCUAACACUGAGGCACGAAGGCCAGGGGAGCAAACGGG